ACCUUGUAAUUGAAACCAUUUUCCUGUGGAGCAUCAAAAUUCUUGUUUCUCUGUGUUAAGCACACAGAAUAAAGAAUCAGGAUGAUGCCCCACAACAUUUGCCUAUGUAUUGGAAAGCCAUCCUGAGAUACAUGGAAGGAAAUCGUCAUCUAUCUGGCCCUAAGGGAUGAUGGAAAAGAGAUAAAUGGAAAUAGAAACUGUGAGCAGUUUCUGCUCUGAACUGUAAACAUCAAUGUGGAAUUUUUGGCAGAUGGAGUGGUUCUAUUUUGUUGGGUUUUGGAACUGAGGUCAUAAUUAAACGGGGCACUUGGGGGCAUUGGUAUUGUGCCACUAAAGGUAAUUUCUUGCACCGGUGAAAGACAGACCAGAGGGAAAACAAUUGCCAAUAAUGUUUUCAUUAAUCAAGAAAGAAAGUCAGAGGUUCAAAGAUGAUCAGAAAGCAUCUUAGUUCUGAUCACAAACAAUGCCAACUGGAGAUGCAGUGGUGUUAUUCCCAUGACCCUCCCAGGCAGCUUCCUGGAAACCUAAGUGU
rnacentral:ncRNA from 1 species